CCAAAGAGUACUAUUUAUAAUAUAUACAACCGCCAAAAAUUCUAUUUACAUCUUCAAAAGUAUCUGGUCGAACCACUAUACUACAGUGUGAUAACAACCAGCAGAAAGUAGACCCUAAGGAGGGUCCUUAUACAAACCACCAAAACACAAACAUACAUCUUAAUUGUCCAACUAUUACAAGCAGACCUAACUAUACUAGUGAAUGUGCCCAAGCGUUCCCCGUGUCGUCCCCUGCUAAGGAAAACAAAGGAAACGGGGUAAGUUAUAUGCUUAGUAAGUAAACAGGGGUAAAACGGUAAAGUUCACAUUCAACUAAGCAUAUAAAAUCCAAAUAUUUCACAUCAAUACAGGAAUGUAACAUCACAAUGGUAGGAUACGGAUUGGCUCCAAAGCCAAGUCGUUUGCCAUGCGUGACCUCCUGUCGAUACUCCGUCGACCAUAAAUAAGAUCUGUAGAACUCCAUUUGUACUCCCACCUAACACCUUAUCACCCUCACUGGCCAGUCACCUCACAAACUUGCUCGAGCGAACGAAAUUGAGUUUGGUUCACAAGCUCGGGUCACAAACUUGGUUCACAUACUCGGUGAAUCGGAUUCACAAACUUGACGACCUCAGACUAGGCUGGACUGACUUCGACCAAGCCCUAACCGGCUUGAAUAGUCCAUCUAGGUCUUGAGAUCGACCUCAAACUCACAAACUUCACAAAAUUACCCAAAAGUCACCCUGAGCUACCAGCUCGAGGGUUUUAGUUCCAAAAUGGUUCAUAUACAUAUGCCAUGUACAAAUACGUGUCUAAAUUAGGGUUUAGGUCGAGUGCGAUAAAGUACACCCUCGCCUAUCGUACCCUUUUCAUACAUAUCAAAACACAUCAGCAAGGAACAUGUAAGAAUGGCCUGAAUACUUACGUAGUACAAAAGCAGAAAUCACUUCGUGCGUGUUAGCUAGUAGGCCCCACCAGCUCCGCCUAGCUCACCACGGUCUGAAAUCGAAGAUUGCAUCUCAUUAUAUCACAAACGGCCACUAACAUGCCCAAAACAAGCAAAAUGGCAAAAUCGGCACAUGCAAGUGCGGAAACGGCAAACGGAAAUGGCUAAAUCUGCCAUCUCAAACCGUUUUGAUCAAAAGUUAGGCUAGGAAUAUCGGAUCAAGGUGGGUGAGACACCGUUUCGAAGAUAUGAGGAAGGGCUACAACUUUUAUUUAGACAUCUCAACCCAGGUUUCAAUAGGUAUUGGUCAAAAAUGCACAAAAUAGUUCCAGCUAUUUCAUUUCGGGUUACCAAACAGGCCCUGUUUGAAAGACCGUAACUCACGGCUCAGAGAUCGAAAUCAAGAAAUUCCAGAGGCGUUAGAAAGCUAAGACAUAAGGCUAUAACUUUCAUGUUUGGACCAAAAGCUGAAUCAAUACAGAGAAUGGAGGAAAACGGGUCCAAACAUUCUUGUCAGAACUGUCUAAUGUGCAGGCAGUUCUGACAAUCGAUCUUGUUUUGGUCAUAACUGAAGCUACGGGACUCGGAUUUGGAUGCACUUUAUACCGUUUCAAAGCUGAGACCAAGAUCUACAUUUCUUAUGAAGGGAUCAACACCCAGUUCGCACGUUAUCAAAACGGAUAAAACAUGGUCAGAAGCAAAAGUCAAAACGUAACACAAUCCAGGGUACAAAAUAGGUGCUAGUGUUUUGUCUAUAACUCGGAUUACACUGAUCCGUUUGACCUGAAAUUUUGCAGGAAUAUUCAAGACAUAAGAGGCUACAACUUUCAUGUUUUGAGAAACUUCUGAAUCAAUACGUAGUAUCAAGAAAAAUGGAACCGAAGUUCAGAUGCUGAACUGCCCUGGUUGCCCGUUUUGCCGGUUUCCAAUGUCGCAAACGCAUGGUUCAUUUCUAUGGUUCUUAUGCAAGGUUUCCAACCAAAUUCAUACCAACUAAGCACACAUAUACUAACUUCUAAAUGACCUACAAAUGGUCCGAAGUUUUCCCUCUAAGCCACUACAAAAUUGCCAAAACUAACCAUGAUCCUUAAACUAACUUUAUUUGCAUUACCAAACUUAAUCUAACAACUUACUAACCAAACCCUAACUAACUAAACAUUAGCCAAGCUAAACCAACCUAAGGAAGCCUAGGGUUUCUUAACCCAAAUCAGUUUUUACCACUCACUCACCAAACCAAUGAAACCAAUCAUCAAACACAACCACUACAAGUUCAAUAACACAAGAUUAGAGCUAACUAAAAUGUUUAACAAGAAACCCUAAUUCUUUCAUCUCUUGACCGAAAUUCCAGCAGCAUAAAUAACUAAAAUUAACCAUUAAAUUACUCAAUAAUCACCACAUAAACCAUACAAAUUCAUAAUUACAACAAAAACUUCACUUUCAUGACUUCAAGAUUAAAACCCCCAAAAUUUAACUUUCAAAAGAGAUAACUUACCUUCAAGUUGCAAGUGUCUUAGGUUAAUCUUCCAAAACCCAAGCUCCAAGUUGUUCCUCCAAGAUCCAAACUCAAGAUUAGUGAAAACAAAUGCAAGAAACAAAAGCUUUUCUCUUCCUUUUUCUUUCUCUCAAAUCUGGCCCUCUCUCUCUCUAUUUC
rnacentral:lncRNA from 1 species